rnacentral:snoRNA from 1 species
AACCCAUGGUGAGGGCACUUUCUCAAUAAAUCCUUACACCUCUCCCAUGCAUCGUAUAGGGUCUCUUAGUCCAUUUGCACAAAGAAAGAGAUAUCAUUCCUCAACUU